CCAAAACCUGUCCUACCGUAU
rnacentral:siRNA from 1 species